GAUCUCUGGAGAGUCCCUUUAGAGGGCGCCGAAGGUGUAAAGACGUGGAUUCCGGUCGCAGAACAGCCGGAUUCCGUCUGAUCUCUCAGGCAAACGGACAGAGCA
rnacentral:ncRNA from 1 species